rnacentral:rRNA from 1 species
GAGUUUGAUCCUGGCUCAGGAUGAACGCUGGCGGCGUGCCUAACACAUGCAAGUCGAGCGAAGCGGUUUUAAGGAAGUUUUCGGAUGGAAUUAAAACUGACUGAGCGGCGGACGGGUGAGUAACGCGUGGGUAACCUGCCUCAUACAGGGGGAUAGCAGUUAGAAAUGGCUGCUAAUACCGCAUAAGCACACAGCUUCGCAUGGAGCAGUGUGAAAAACUCCGGUGGUAUGAGAUGGACCCCGCGUCUGAUUAGCUAGUUGGUAAGGUAACGGCUUACCAAGGCGACGAUCAGUAGCCGACCUGAGAGGGUGACCGGCCACAUUGGGACUGAGACACGGCCCAAACUCCUACGGGA